GAUGAACGCUAGCUACAGGCUUAACACAUGCAAGUCGCGGGGCAGCAUGGGGGUUGCUUGCAAUCCCCGAUGGCGACCGGCGCACGGGUGAGUAACGCGUAUCCAACCUGCCCUUCACCACGGGAUAACCCGGCGAAAGUCGGACUAAUACCGUAUGUUGUCCAUUGACGGCAUCCGAUUUGGACGAAAGGCUUGGCGGUGAGGGAUGGGGAUGCGUCCGAUUAGCCAGACGGUGGGGUAACGGCCCACCGUGGCUACGAUCGGUAGGGGUUCUGAGAGGAAGGUCCCCCACACUGGAACUGAGACACGGUCCAGACUCCUACGGGAGGCAGCAGUGAGGAAUAUUGGUCAAUGGGCGUAAGCCUGAACCAGCCAAGUAGCGUGCAGGAUGACGGCCCUAUGGGUUGUAAACUGCUUUUAUGCGGGGAUAAAGUGGCCCACGUGUGGGCUUUUGCAGGUACCGCAUGAAUAAGGACCGGCUAAUUCCGUG
rnacentral:rRNA from 1 species